CUAUAAGGAUAAAUUAUGUUGUUAAAAACUUUACCAUUCUUUCUUUCCACCUUUCUUUCUUCCUUCCUCCCCCUCCUCCUCCUUUUUACUUUUCUUCCUCUUCCUUUCUCUUCUUCUUUCUCUCCUUCAUUAUCCCUUUCGCUGUUUCUCUUUCUCUCUUUCUCUUUUUUCUUUUCUUUCAAUUUUCUCAAUUACUAAGAGAUGUUUAAGUACCCUUACCAUAUUAGUAGAUACGGUUAUUUCUCACUUUAGUUCUAUUUUGAGAUUUAUAGUCACUCUAAGUAAAGAGAUAACCCAAACAUAAGCGUCACAAACAGGCUUUCAUACCAUUCUUAAUUUGGUCCUGUCAUUCUUCAUUGCUGUAUUAACUUUCUGAUGCU
rnacentral:lncRNA from 1 species